GAAUUUGUAACUGGCAAAAGUGAGUGUAAUAGCAGCAUCUGUUGUUUGUUAAUCAAAUGACGUGUCAGCUUAUCACUAGGAAACUGCAAUAACCACGGGGCCGGUUUCCAACCACAGACAUCCUGAAACACCAACAAACACAACCCUUUGAGGUACGGAGCCCAGGACUUGUCCAGCUUUACAGAUCCUGCGCAAGGAUCACGAAGGGCUGCGCUGCGAAAGAUGCCAGCCCCCAUCUGACAGGACAAAGGACGGCUGCCUGGCAACAGGAGCACGCAUGCGCAAGAGAUAGCAUGAAGCCACGAACCCGGAUGUGGCACUGUGUAAAGGCUGUCAGCUGGAAGGGGAAAGCGCGCGCCGUUGGUGGAGCAGAGGCUCCCCGGCCGCCCAGCGCUGUUUUGCUUACUUGCUUGCUUUAAUAAACGACGAGUUCCAAACUGCAUAAUUGGGUCGCUCAGUUUGUUUAAUGUAAUUUAAAACAAUUUGGUGCCGUGACUCGGAUCCAGGUAACUCUGACACGGGAUCCUCAACCCGGGGCGGCGCCCCGUCCUUGGGCGGCCUGCAGUGGCUGAUCUGCGUACGGAGACCUGUAAUUCCAAGCCCUAAAAGUCAGGAAAGUAAGCAGAAGAAACUGCAGAACCCCGCGAUUUUUGUGCACGGAGACCCGAACGCCGACUCGAGGUGGCUGAAAGCUGCCGUCCGGACAGCCGAACGAGGAUGGACGCAUGGAAGUCGUGUAAAAGGACCCAUUCCGGAGGAUCAGUGGGAAGUAUCUGAAAGCCCCGGGGGACUGAAAUUCAGACUGAGAAGAAAGACCUAAUAAGCACAAACGAGACUGUCUGUAGCUCAAUCUUGUGAGUGCUAACCGACUUCUGUAAGGCAAACUGGUGGAUCCGUUACACUUAGGGAUAUCUCUGCCGAGAUAUCCGUGACCUGUAGCUGAUUGGUCAAGCUCCUACAGAGAUUAUUUAGAGCCCUGUGAUGGGACACUUUUGAAACGGGAAUUGGCCCAAAGGAGGGGUUGGUGCGUUUAAUGGGGGUAAAACCUUGAGAGCCUGCAAGUGGUUGAUCGAGAGUCGAGUAAACUUAUAAGGAGCAAAGAGGGACCCCUGAAGAACCCGACUGCUGCCGAGAAGAUGGAACACCUCGCUGCUCUAAGCAAAGGAGCAGGCGAAGGAGGCAGAGGCGUCAAACGGUGGGGAUGUAGGCCAAGAGGCCCCCUCUGGGGUAAAACCCCAGGCUCCCACUCCCAGGACCAAUGCCUCUUAGAGCGCGAAUAUGACAGCCAGAUCCGUCGGGCGCUUAAAAACUUUGGAGGAAAGGAAGCAUCCAUUUAAACACCCUUAUCACUAGGAAACUGCAAUAACCACGGGGCCGGUUUCCAACCACAGACAUCCUGAAACACCAACAAACACAACCCUUUGAGGUACGGAGCCCAGGACUUGUCCAGCUUUACAGAUCCUGCGCAAGGAUCACGAAGGGCUGCGCUGCGAAAGAUCCCAGCCCCCAUCUGACAGGACAAAGGACGGCUGCCUGGCAACAGGAGCACGCAUGCGCAAGAGAUAGCAUGAAGCCACGAA